CUCACCACCUUCACAGGGGACAAUUCCUUCCCAGUAUCCCAUCUAACCGUGCCCUGUGGCAGCGGGAAGCCAGUCCCCUUGUGUCCUUGUCCCUCCACCCCUUU